rnacentral:rRNA from 1 species
UACGUAGGGUCCAAGCGUUGUCCGGAUUUAUUGGGCGUAAAGAGCUCGUAGGCGGUCUGUCGCGUCGAUCGUGAAAACUUGGGGCUUAACCCUGAGCUUGCGGUCGAUACGGGCGGGCUGGAGUUCGGUAGGGGAGACUGGAAUUCCUGGUGUAGCGGUGAAAUGCGCAGAUAUCAGGAGGAACACCGGUGGCGAAGGCGGGUCUCUGGGCCGAAACUGACGCUGAGGAGCGAAAGCGUGGGGAGCAAACAGG